CUCUAAUUCCAAAGAAUAUUCUCUUUAUAGAGAUUUGUAGUCAUAUUUUUUCAAAAAAAGGGAAGCUAUAUUUUCUGGUUAAAUAGGUGGAUAAAACCUCAUAUAAUUCAGAAAUAUGUGUGACUCCAAAAUGUAUUGUAGAUGAUUUAGGUUAUAUAAAAAUAUUUUUUGGUUAGCACUAAUAUAAAAAAUAAUUUGAACUUCACUCAAAGGAAAGAGCAUGAUAUUAUAAACAUAAACUUCAAUUCUGAUUAAUAUUAAUAUGUAGGGAAAUUUUCACAAAUACCACAUUCAUAUUACCAUUUUUUAUGUUUAUACUAACCAUAUUCAUAAGAGUCUUUUGACACUUAUUGAAGAUAGUAGUUUUGAAAAUAUCUUUUUAUUGGUGGUAAAGAUGAAUAGUAGUACCAUAAAAGUAUUAAACACGAAAUUCCUCCCAAUAUGUAAGCUUCUCUCUGAUUUUGUAUGUUAAAAUAUGAUAUUUUAUUGUUAUAUUAAAGUUUCUAGUUUCAAUUUUCGUAUGGAGGGAAUAACAUAAAUGUUUUAUCGGUGAAGAAUAAAUGUAAAUAAACUGUUGUGGUGUGGUUUAAAGUUAAAGACUUAGCAACUUAGUUAAUAUGUAAUCUCAAAAAAAAAGCAGUUAAUAUGUAUAGUAUUGAUAAGAUGAAUGGUAGAAUCAAUGCAAAGUGACGAAUGACUAUCACGUAUGGAAGCAAUUAAAUGUGUAUUUUUUUAUCAACUUAAAUGUGCUUUCUAUGUAAUCAAUUUCGUGUUCAGUAUCUGCUCACUUUAAAUUUUGAUGAAUUGAUUUAGGAAUAUAUUGUAGUCUAGGAUGGAAUGAUUAGUUAAAUUAGGAAAAGACAUAAUAUUUAAUAUAUGCUUAUUAAUUACUUCAGUGACAUUCUAUUUAAAUAAGUUGUAAAUUUUAGGAAUAUUUCUUAUUUGUACUUCUAUUUUAAUAGUAUAGAUGUUGUAAUGCUUCUCCUUUAAUAUAUAUACGGAAUUUACAUCAAUUAAAACAUUUGAGUUAAUAUAAGACGUUGUAAUGCUUCUCAUUAGUCUCACUAUCAUCUUCAUUAUCACCUUCUUCACCGACUUGAUUAUGUUGUUCGUAGCUUCUCUAACACUUUCCUCUUAAGAUCUCUCACUACGACGAGUCCGAAGUAAUCUCAUCGUCACAGCCAUCUUUUACAUUAUUAAUGGCUCUUGUUAUGGAGAUUAAAAGAUUGAGAAAUUGGGAAUAGAAAAUGUAGGUUUCGCGAAAGAGGGAGUGAUUUAAAUGCUUACAGAUGUAGAACGACAUUAUUUCAUUAAUAUUUAAUCAAUUUUUAAAACGACAUCGUUUAUCGAGAUAACAAACGUUUACGAGUUUAACAGUUGACUUAUUAGGUUUCUAAAAUGACCUGAUCAACAAAAAAUGAUAGUUAAAAUGACAAAUAUUUGAAAGUCGAAGUACUUUUUUUAUUCAAACAUGAGUUCAAAGUUUUUUUGGUUUUAAUUCGAAAGUUCAAGAUUUUUAUGGGUGUUUUAUUAAUAUAAAGAUAAUUUACACCAAUAAGUGAACGUAGAUAUGUAGAAUCCCAGAAAGAAAAAAGAGCCACUAUCAUUAUUACUAAAAUCAAUCUCACUUAAAAAAAUAUAUAGCAUAAACAACAAAAGAAAUAGAUCACGAACGUAAGAAAAUUGCAUAUAACUGUUUCAACUCAAAGAACAAUGCAUAUUCUUCUUUGUCAAUAACCAAUAUCUCCGUCUUCCUCUUCCUAUUUCUCUUGUUCUAGUUCUUUCAUUCUCUUUUACUUUUUAUCAGUUUAAAAUUUAUGGUUCGAAAUCGUCUCAAAACAAAAUUUCAACAAGAAUCAAGCACUUAUAUGAGUCAUUAUGAUGACGAUUUGGUUUCUUCUUAAAAAGGAUAUAAAAAUGUACGAGAGGGAUCACUCUCUCUUUUUUUUUUCCUUUCUCUAGUUUUUCAAGUUUUGAGAAAAUUACAAAUUUAUAGGACUUUCUGUCCAUGGCUUAUAGAUCUUUGGGAAUGUCCAUGGAUAUGAGAGGAUAUGACAUUGAUUUGAAAAAUGAAAGAAUAUUAUAAGUCUGAGGAAGUCUUCACGCCCCCAGCGAAGAUGAAAAUAUGGAUACAAAGAACAAAAAAAAUAAUAAUAAUAAUAAUUCUUCAAAAUUUGAUUUAGUUUUUUAAAAAUUUGUACUUUUCUAAUCCCACUAACAUUAGAUUCUUUUUAAUAUCUAAAAUAUUUAGAAAUAUUAUUUAGUUUUUUGUUUUUUAUAGUUAUAUACCUAACAAAAUUUUCUCUUAGUUGUAUGGAAUUUGAUUUAAUAUAUUUUAUCCAAAAGAAACAGAUAAAAAAUCUUUCAGAAAUUAGAAUUUUAAAUAUAUACAUAUAUAUAUAUAUAUUAAAAAUAAAUUUAAAUAAAAAUAUUUAUUUUAUCUUAACUUUUACAUAUAAUUAAAUUAAUAAUUAAAAAUAUAUAUUGUAAGAAAAUAAUAAUAUCUAAAAAUUAAAAAAAAUUAUAUUUUAAAAUCUACUUUAAAUUUAAAAUUUUUGGUUCUGCACAUGCGGCACGAAAAAACCUAGUAUAAUAUAAUUCAAUAAAAAAAUUAAUAAAAUUGUAUUUAUUAGUAUUCAGUUGGAUUAAAAGUAAAAUAUAAAAUUUGAAAAAUAUGGAAACUAUAAAUUCAAAUGAGAAAUUAAUUCAAAUUAUAUUUACGGGAAAAAUUAGAACGAUAUAUCUUUCCUAAAAUUACAGGAAUAAGAAAAUUAAUAAAAAUUAUGAUAAAUCGAUUCUGAAAACUAAAGAGUGUGACAAUUUUAUCCUAGAUCUGUUACACAAGUCGACAAAAAUAAAAACAUUUUGAGAUUCGAGGGGCGGCGACAUCAGAGCCCAAAUCAAAAGUGGUAUUUCUUCCAUCCAAACCAAAACAGUAAACCAAACCGAUCAUGAAAUUCGAAUCCGAUUUUGACUAAACCAAAUCGACACCAUCGCCGAAUCUUUCACCAUUCUGAUGCCUAGUAGCUUAAACUCAUUUCAAAAACCAAUACUCGCACUCGCUUCUUCUUCUUCUCCUCCUCCUAAACCACUUUCUCGCUCUCUGCAACUCUGUGGACAUGUUCUCUCCACUGACGAAGAGACCUAAGCAAAGCUCUCGCAAUGACAGAACUCCACACCAUCGAGUUGCUCCGCCGGAUUCUCCAGCAACUCACAAUCGCGAAUCAGCUCAGCGAGACAGUUUCAUCUCAGAUCGUCCCGCCACUGGAACUCCUGCACGCCUUGGGGUCCUUGUUUGUCUGUUCUAGCUAGAGUUUCUCCUGUCAACAAUGGUGAAAAAGGAGAUGAUACAAACCAAUUAAACAUGUGUUCUUUGGAGAGUUCCCCCAGUUGGUUCGAGAUGAACAAACAUGCUUCUUGAGGAAUAAUAGCCCUUCUGGGGAUGUAAAUGUAUCCGGUGGAAUGGAAGAAACCUGCCUCUCUUGGUUUAUCAUUGGAACUAAACUUUUUGUCUGGAGUCAGUUGACAACCUUUACCAUCAAGAAAGUGUGUUGUUCUUGUACUUCCUUUGGUCAAUGAAGAGUCUUGUAGUGCUUUACAAGGUGGUAAAAGCUGGUUGGUUAGCGUUGUCUCUUGGGAUCAGUCCGCUGGUGCAGCAAGCAGGGCUCGUUCUCCUGUUGGUAUUGUGAUGGUUCAUGAUACAGGGAAUCAAUCACUAAUGCCACGUCAUCAUAGAUGAGAGAGAAGCCAACAAAGAGUCGUAUAUAAACAGAGCAUACACUUUCAUUUUCAUUAAUCAAGAAAAUUGUAAAAGUUUGUUAGAUCAUCUUCUUCAUCUUAGGGUUCUUUCUGAAGAAUCUUUCUGUAAUUCUACUUUUGGUUCAAACUUGGAAAAGAUCGUUCUAGAUCGGGAUAUUUUGCAAUUGAGCUACCGAUAGGUGUUUUAGGAACGUUUAUUCGGAUUUAUCGGUUCGUAAUACAGAUUGUUCUGUAUCAGUGGUAUCAGAGUCGUCGCGUCCUCGGAUCGAUGGUAGAGAUCGGUGAUUUUGUCAAAGCUUGGUGAUCGGAAUCCAUGGCAGAGACUAGAUCGCAAGGGUUGCUGGCGCCUGAGUCGGAAUUGAGUCUUCAGCAACUUCUGGAAAGAUUGCGCCUCUGUUACGAACGUCCAAGUUACACCGAGCAUCGUAAUCUCCAACCGGCGUCUGCAGUAACUACGUUCAACCAUCAAGCAUCUGUUCCAGCAUCGACGGUUAGCGAAGCUCCGAUCAGAAAGCGAACAAAGAAGAUCCGUCGGAUAAUAUCGCGUGACGAGAUUGACGAUCAAAGGUUCAAGGGGUUAUGUGUGUUCUGCGACAAACCGGAAACUCUAGAGCACUACCACAAGAACGCAAGACUUUUCAUGAUAGAUGGUGAUGAAGAUCAACUCUCCUGUGACAAAGAUUUGGUCGAAAAUGAAGUUGAAUCAAAAUCGUUCUUGCCCAAUGAGAGGUGCGAUGUAUCAGGUUUGAUUGCAAAGAUGGAUAUAAUUGAUGCAAUUGCAACACUGGACACAAACGAGUCGAUUGGAACAAAGGAUUCCACGGAUUCGAUUACAAAAAUUGAUCCGCACCAAGAUACUGAGUCACUUGAAGUAUAUUUGUCGGCUUCAAUUCCUGAAAGCAAUUCAAACCAAGACGUUGAAGCAGAUUCUGUUUCUCAGCUUCAGGAGUUCGAAAAAGAGGUAUAAGCAUUCUCUUUGGAACCAAGCCUUAGAGUAGAUCAACGUCAGUCUAUGUUGCUUCAGAACAUUGUCUCUCAGCUACUAGUCAAUGGUUCACACUGUGUUAGUGUUUGGCUUGCUCCAAAAAUAGAAGAAUCCUUCAUUUUAGAUGUGGAGCUGGGGGUUCAGUUGAUUCAAAAGGCAGUAAAAGCUACUGAUUUCGUUGAGCACCACUUGUUUGAUCAGUUGUCUCUAAGACAGCUCAACAGUCAAAAGGACUGGACUUUCAAGUACAAACUUAAGAAAAGAAGCCAGCAUUCCAGUGUCAAGGUUUGUACAGAGAAGGAAGAGAUUCAGGUGGUUGUUAGUGACAAUAUCAAUGAUGGUUUUGGAUGGGAUCACUUAUGUGGUUAUCAUGAAGAGAUGCUAAGAGUUUGUGCUACUGAAGUUGAAGAGCUUGUACCCCUGAAAUAUUCCAAAACAUGGAGGUUUAAGUUCAGGAAGAACAAGCCAUCCAUUGCUUUAUGUGGAGAGCAGGAAGAAGACAAGUGGGAGCAUUUAAAUGGAAACAUGCCUUCUGGUUUUGAUUGCAGUACGUGCGUUGUGUAUAUGCUAUCUGACUUGCAAGCUACAUUAGAAGUAUGUAUGGUUACGGAUAGGCUGCAGAACUUCUAUACAUAGAGGUGGCAGAGGGUUGUUGUGAGAGGGAGAUGUGAUAGUACACAGAAGCUUAUGGCGUUCUAUGAAUCGGUGCAGAGUUCUUGGUUCCUUGAAAUCUUUUGUGUGUCCAAUGGAACUGGUUCUUUUACAAUAUGGCAUCGCUGGAGGUGCAAGGGAGCCUCUACUCUAUAUGAAACGAAAGAAGCAGAAAAGUUGAAGGCACUGACUGAGUUGAUUGAAGAUCAAAUAAAGAUAGUUUGUCCAGACGAGUUAAGAGUUGGUCGUAUUGAUUCAAGCGUGUGUGCUACUGCGGUUGAAGAACGCGUUCUCCUGAAAUUGUAUAAAUCUUGGCAAUUCAAGUUCAGAGGCAAGAUGGAGACUAUCAAAUGGACAGAUAGUCUCAUUGAUCUAUGGAAACUGAGCAUUUUAACUCUGUCGGCAGUCAGCUUGAUCAUUUUAAAUGAGCGUUGUCUCAUUGAGAAGCUGCUGAUUCUGAAAGUUGCAGUGGAAUUUGAUGAGUUUCAUGGCCAGCGAAGAGAGUGUGUUCUUGAGCUUCAUUUCAGGAUGUUUGGCUGUGGCUAAGCUGCUAAACUUCUGUACCAAGAGGUGGCUAGUGGAUAUUUCGAGAUGGAGAUUUCUCUGAGAACGUAUUGCCAUGCCACAACAAACAGUUUAUGAGUUUCAAGCUAACCUUGUGGUCAAGAUUUUUUGAAGGGGAAGGAUUUGAUACAGGGAAUCAAUCACUAAUGCCACGUCAUCAUAGAUGAGAGAGAAGCCAACAAAGAGUCGUAUAUAAACAGAGCAUACACUUUCAUUUUCAUUAAUCAAGAAAAUUGUAAAAGUUUGUUAGAUCAUCUUCUUCAUCUUAGGGUUCUUUCUAAAGAAUCUUUCUGUAAUUCUAGUUUUGGUUUAAACCUGGAAAAGAUCGUUCUAGAUCGGGAUCUUUUGCAAUUGAGCUACCGAUAGGUGUUUUAGGAACGUCUAUUCGGAUUUAUCGGUUCGUAAUACAGAUUCUUCUGUAUCAGUUCACAAAA